rnacentral:rRNA from 1 species
AAUCAACGCUGGCGGCGUGCCUCAGACAUGCAAGUCGAACGCUGCUGUUCGCCUUCGGGUGGACAGCGGAGUGGCGCACGGGUGAGUAACACGUAGGUAAUCUACCUUUGGGUGGGAAGUAACAGCCGGAACGGACGUGCUAAUACCGCAUAAUGCAGCGGCAUCACAUGAUGACAGUUGUUAAAGACGAGGGAGUCGUAAGACCUCGCGCCUGAAGAGGA